rnacentral:rRNA from 1 species
GACGAACGCUGGCGGCGUGCUUAACACAUGCAAGUCGAACGGAAAGGCCCUGCUUUGGUGGGGUGCUCGAGUGGCGAACGGGUGAGUAACACGUGAGUAACCUGCCCUUGACUUUGGGAUAACUUCAGGAAACUGGGGCUAAUACCGGAUAGGAGCUCCUGCUGCAUGGUGGGGGUUGGAGAGUUUCGGCGGUUGGGGAUGGACGCGCGGCUUAUCAGCGUGUUGGUGGGGUAGUGGCUUACCAAGGCUGCGACGGGUAGCCGGCCUGAGAGGGUGGCCGGCCACAUUGGGACUGAGACACGGCCCAGACUCCUACGGGAGGCAGCAGUGGGGAAUAUUGCACAAUGGGCGGAAGCCUGAUGCAGCGACGCCGCGUGGGGGAUGACGGCCUUCGGGUUGUAAACCCCUUUCGCCUGCGACGAAGGGUGAGUGACGGUAAUUGGUAAAGAAGCACCGGCUAACUACGUG